AAGGUUAAAAAUGUUGAAUUAUUUAGUAUCAAAAUGAUAAAAUGUAUAAGUGUUAAGGAUUACAUGUGUUGUUAUACCAAUUUAAAAAAAUCAUGUUAUCAUUUUUUCUACAGAAAAACAAGCCCGAAGUCCACUACCUCAGAAUUAACCAUAAUCGGAAAUUACAAGGUUAUGGAUAUCAUGAGGAUAAUCCAUGUCAAAAGAAAAGUACAACAAUUCAAAAGCGGCCACUCUAUUACAGUUACAAUCCACCUAUUUGACCUCAGCUUUAGUGAAUAGCUCAAUCAAUUCCCUCGCCUCUUUUAUGCGAAAACCAAACAUCGUGAUGUCAUCCUUAUGCUUGCAAGCGUGAUUAACAAUACUAGUACAGUCCCUUUUGAAAAUGACUUUGUCGAGAUUGAAAGACCGAGCAAGCCUAAGGCCUUCAAAAAGAGCAUCCAGCUCUGCCCAUUCGAGGCUCAUAAACUCAUCCUUAAAGACCACACAACACCCGAUAACAAAACCAUCAGAAUCUCUAAUGAUAAUACCAAGCCCCGUCUUGUUAUUCAUCACUGAAGCAUCCAUAUUAAUAUUAACAAAGCUAUUCAGAGGUUUCUCCCACUUAUAAGCUCUAGGAACCUGAAGAAGAAUCGGCUCAAAAGACAAAUUAUGGAUGCGAAAAUCGUCACUGAGCUUCCGCGCCUUAUCCCACACCAAUCCAGCUUCUUCCUCCACACCUCUAAACACGACAUUAUUCUAACUAUUCCAAAUAUUCCAAAGAGUUGUAAUAAAGUUUUCAAGGCCAGAGAGUUAUAUUCCAAGAAAUGCAAUAUAAAGGGUCAAGAUAGAUCAAUGAUAGGAACAUACAUUUAUGAUAUCCAACAACAAAUAUACGGGCUUGAUAAGAUAAGAUUCCAACAUGCACCAAGAUCGGCAAAUAGUCUAGCACAUAUUCUAGCAACAGAAACGCUAAGGAGAGGAGAAGAAAUAUACCUGGAUAGGGGUGUUCCGGAAUACGCUAGGUGCAAGGCCGAUAUGAGAUGAGAAAGGAACCAGACUAGGAAGUUUUCAGGGGAGGAAGGUUGAAGGUUUGGUAAGCCUUAGAAUAGGAAUGAAUCGGCAUACAUUGAAAAUGGAAUCGUCGAAAUGAAUAGACAUGACAGAAAGAUCAGAGGACAGAUUUCAAAUAGUUUCUGAUUGGGUAAUGGAUCGGUGCACUUAUUGCCGGUUCUAGAAUCAUCUUUUUUAAUAUUUCAAUUUUAUUUAAGGCCAUAUGUUUUUGGGCCGUGUUUUUAGGCUUUGACGUUAGUUUAUUUUGCCAUAGGCUGGUUUUGUUAAGUUUUUGGUUUUUUGUUUUGAACAGUAUUUAUUUAUUUUUAAUAAAAGCCCAA
rnacentral:lncRNA from 1 species